rnacentral:rRNA from 1 species
GAUGAACGCUGGCGGCGUGCCUAAUACAUGCAAGUCGAGCGAACAGACGAGGAGCUUGCUCCUCUGACGUUAGCGGCGGACGGGUGAGUAACACGUGGAUAACCUACCUAUAAGCCUGGGAUACCUUCGGGAAACCGGAGCUAAUACCGGAUAAUAUAUUGAACCGCAUGGUUCACUAGUGAAAGACGGUUUUGCUGUCACUUAUAGAUGGAUCCGCGCCGCAUUAGCUAGUUGGUAAGGUAACGGCUUACCAAGGCAACGCUGCGUCGCCGACCUUAGCGGGUGAUCGGCCACACUGGAACUGAGACACAGUCCAGACGCCUGCGGGAGGCAGCAGUAGGGAAACUUCGGCAAUGAGCGAGAGCUUGACGGAGCAACGCCGCUUGAGGGAUGAAGGUCUUCGGGUCGUAAAACUCUGUUAUGAGGAAAGAACAAAUGUGUAAGUAACUAUGCACGUCUUGACGGUACCUAAUCAGAAAGCCGCAGCUAACUACGUG